AGAAUACAAUAAUAAGCUUGCCCGACUAAUAUCUCUAACAUUUCGUCCAUAAAUGACAAUGGAAAAUGAUCCUUCCGUGUAGCUAGAUUCAACCUACGAUAAUCAAUACACAUUCUUCAUCCCGUAACAGUAUGGGUUAGGAUUAAUUCAUUUUUUUAAUUAUGAAUAACAGUGGUGCCACCUCUUUUUGAAACUACAUGCAUUGGACUUACCCACGAACUAUCAUAAAUAGGAUAAAUU
rnacentral:lncRNA from 1 species